UACGUAGGGUGCAAGCGUUAUCCGGAAUUAUUGGGCGUAAAGAGCUCGUAGGCGGUUUGUCGCGUCUGCCGUGAAAGUCCGGGGCUCAACUCCGGAUCUGCGGUGGGUACGGGCAGACUAGAGUGAUGUAGGGGAGACUGGAAUUCCUGGUGUAGCGGUGAAAUGCGCAGAUAUCAGGAGGAACACCGAUGGCGAAGGCAGGUCUCUGGGCAUUAACUGACGCUGAGGAGCGAAAGCAUGGGGAGCAAACAGG
rnacentral:rRNA from 1 species